rnacentral:rRNA from 1 species
AGUGAACGCUGGCGGCAGGCCUAACACAUGCAAGUCGAACGGCAGCACAGGAGAGCUUGCUCUCUGGGUGGCGAGUGGCGGACGGGUGAGGAAUACAUCGGAAUCUACCUUUUCGUGGGGGAUAACGUAGGGAAACUUACGCUAAUACCGCAUACGACCUUAGGGUGAAAGCGGAGGACCUUCGGGCUUCGCGCGGAUAGAUGAGCCGAUGUCGGAUUAGCUAGUUGGCGGGGUAAAGGCCCACCAAGGCGACGAUCCGUAGCUGGUCUGAGGGGAUGAUCAGCCACACUGGAACUGAGAAACGGUCCAGACUCCUACGUGAGGCAGCAGUGGGGAAUAUUGGACAAUGGGCGCAAGCCUGGUCCAGCCGUGCCGCGUGGGUGAAGAAGGCCUUCGGGUUGUAAAGCCCUUUUGUUGGGAAAGAAAAGCAGCCGGUUAAUACCCGGUUGUUCUGACGGUACCCAAAGAAUAAGCACCGGCUAACUUCGUGCCAGCAGCCGCCGUAA